UUUGAAUGAUAAGAAAAGAGAAACCCUUCAGAAAAUAGAUAAUAUGAGAAAAGGAUUUGAAAAGAUAAGUUAUCACUUUCAAUUCUUUCUUUCUUUUAUAAUGAAAUGAACAGGAAUGAUUUUAAUUCAUAGCACUUUGCGUUUGCACUUCAUCUGUGAGACAGGGUUAGUUCUAUCCGCUUAUUCACAAAAUUAUCAAAAUUAUUUGUAUAGUGAGCACACUAUAUAUUAAUUAGAACAUUUAAAAAAAAGUGUCCAUUUUUUAUUAUUUUGUUUAUAAAACUUCAACGGUAAUCUUUAAUGCUUACUAUUUCGGACUGUAAAAAGCUGGGUGCAAAGUACUUGCUUGAUGCGGAAAAGGCGAACAUAUCCUGUACUGGGAUACCAAAUAUAGAUUUCACAGGCUAUAGGUUACGGAGGACGGGGACGCCUGGUGUCUAACAUAGGCAAACACGUGUAUAUCCCUCGCUCUCCCCUAUCUAGCGGCAACAACUCCCUGGAGCUCCAAGAGGCUGCGUCGGAAGUUUAUUGAGACGACAUGAAAAAG